GCAAGGGUUGGACAUCAUCUUCCAGGAAGAAAUUAUAGAGGAGAGGAAGAUAAAGCUGAGGAUAGAACUCUGGAUAACACUAAUAUUUAAAUGUUGGGCAAAAGAAGGUGAACACAUACAUGUGAGCAAGGACUGCCACAGAAAUAAAAGGAAAUUUGGAAUAAUUAGUGUCAUGAAAACCAAAGAAGGAGAAAAUUUCAAUUAGGAGUAGUCAACAGUGUCAAAUAUUUAAGAGAACAUGGCUAUAACAAGGGCAAAUUUUCACUCGAUUUGGAAUUAGGAAUUCAUAGAUGAUUUCAAUUACUGAAAUUUCAGAAGAAAGAAAGGCAACAAGCCAUAUUACAGUGGGUUGAAGACUGAAUGGACUGUUUAACAGCAAAAACUUCCAGUGCAGAUAGCACUUCUUGACUGCAGGUGAAUUCUUCUCAACGAGCAAGAGGUAUGGUAUCACACUGAGAAGAUAUGAGGAUUAAACAUAGCUUUUAAAUAAACUUUCAUCUAUCUAGUUUUUUCUCUUGGAAAAGGCAUUAGAAGACAGAAACUUGGGAAUAGGAGGAGUAUCUAGCAUGGAAAGUGACUUCAGAAAUCAUUGGGAAAGUAUGAACUUGAACAUUUGAGGCCAUGGACUUAGAAAAUAAGCACACAACAAGGGAAGACAAGAAAUGAGACAUAACCAUAACUGUACACCUGUGUAUAUUUUCAGGUACAUUUCUAAACACAUAUAGCAAAAUUUCUCCUAUUUCAAAUGACAUAUAUGCAAUCAAUUUUUCCCUGGUUGUAUUUAAGGUAAAAGAAAGCACUGGUUUAGAUACUUGUCCGAGUUCUACCACCAGAUACCUGUGUAAGUUUUGACAAGUAAUUAAACCUGUCUGACCCUUAGGUUACUCAGGCUUAAUUCAACUUGGUGAAUAUGAAUUGUUCUCAUAUUAGGUGUCAGUCCUUGUGUUCAAUUCUGAGAGCCCAAAGAUAAAAAUUACUUCUACUUGAGUUACUGCAAUUUCCAAUUCCAAUCUCACCUGACUCAAUAACUUCUAAAUUGUCCACACUGCUCCAAAGUGAUCUCUUUAUAAUAGAAAUCCCAAAGGUUUUUAAAUGCUUCAAUAACACCAUGUGGCCCUCACAAAAAAUCUUAAAUUCCCUAGAAAUGUACACCUGACUCUUUAUGGUGGGUCCUUCUUUGCUUCUCCGUAUCCAUUUUUUAUUCCUCUUCACUAAAUAAUCCCCCUGCUGCUCAGAAAUGUUUUCUCUGUUUUCUGUUUUGUUCCUUUUGUAGUAUGUGUAUUUCUUUCCACUUAAAACUGCAUCCUUAUCACUUCUACUUAUUCCUAACUUCUGUUAAUCCUUUGUACUUCAGUACUUAAGUCUCUCUUCCUUCAGACAGAAGCCUCCUCUGAUCCUGCUGAUGUAUUCUGGAAUUUAUCAAGCAGUAUUGUAAAUCUCUUUAUGGAUCUGUUUAUCAACUAUAGUAGAGAUCCUAGAGUACCGAUUAACAGUAUGAAUUAUUGAAUCAGAUCGCCUAGUUUCAAAUUCAGCCUAUCUCAGUACUGCGUAACUUUAGGCAAGUUAUUGAGCCUCCUCCAUCUUCAAUUGUUUUAUGCGUGAGAUGGGAAUUGAUUAUUAGUACCUAGCUCUUGGGAGUGUUAUGAGGAUUAGAAAACAAACAUAAAACCAAAAACACAAAAAAUGAAAAUCAAAUCUAUGCAUGUAAAAUGCUAUACCCAGAGCCUGAAACAUAAUAAGCGCUUAAUAAAUGUAAUUUAUCAUUUUA